rnacentral:lncRNA from 1 species
UUUUGUUUUGUUUUGGUUUGGUUUUUUUUGUACCGGGGAUCAAACUCCGGACCUUGCACCUUGUACUUGCGAGGCAGGCGGCAGAAUGACUGAGCUAAAUCCUCGGUCUGCAACCUGGAUUAUUUGAGGUUCUGCGGGAGCUAAGAAGUCUGUCCUUUCUCUCAGUAAGGUAGUGGAAAAUGAAGUAACAUAAGGUGUGUGUGGGAUGGGAGUAAAUAUGGGCCUGGAAUCCCACAUAAUUGCACGAUGGAAAGGUGUUGCCAAGGUCACUGAAUGGAGACAAGGACAAGGCUUGAAGUCUGGCUGCUCGUGUCCUGGCCUGUUUCCACCACAGGACUCCACUGUCACAUGGAAUGUGUCACCUUCCCAACAAAGCCCCUGGGGUGCUGCUUCCAGGCAAGACAGGGCCCAUAGCAGGUGGGGGAGCCACAUGAACCAUCCUACAGAAACACCACUCAAAUGGAGCAGACAGACCCAAACCAGGUGUGGCCAAGACCAAUGACAGAUUUGCUUCUGGAGAGUAGAAAGGGGGUAGGACUGGGAGGCUCCACCGGCCCACAUCUCACCCAUCCUGGUACUUCAGAGACUGGGCCCCAGUGUCACAACUCUGCCUGACACCUGCUUCUGGCAAAGUAUGUACUUUAUAUGUCUGUCAUCACAGGAUCAAGUGUUUGUCAGUGUUUAACAUGGUUAUAAAGAAGAUCUAGAAAAUUUGUAGCCUCUGAGUUCUAAAAUUCCCGAGUUCUACAGCCACAGGUAAGGUGGCUUCAGUGAAGUAAUUAUAGAAACAGUUUGUGGGAUCCAGACCACAGUCCAUAAGUCUCUGAUGGGUGUUAUCACUCCAAAGAGGCAGGAUGUAAAAUAAACAAAUGUUUGGACCAACCUAAGGCACCUGGAUGUGCUCCUCCAUCUCAAAUGCUUUUCAGAGCAGACCAAGAAAGUUCAUCAACCCAGGACCAGAGCUGUUUUUUCUUGGCCAGUGUGCAGUCAACCAGUCCUGUGGCAGUGCAGAGUGACUUAAACGUGGCAGAGGUGUCUGCAGGGCAGUUGGUAGCAGUUUCACAGCAUGUCCUGAAAGAACAUCAGCAAGCCAAGGUCAAAGGUCCCUGGGACCCUGGACAGGACAGGUCCAGGUCCACCCCAGAACACUCUCCUCUGUUCUUCUUCAAACUGAAUGUGCGCCUCCCCCAAAGGAUUGACCCUGUACCUACGAGUUCCUUGAAGUCAUCCCGCUCUGUAGAGAUUCCACUCAGUCCUUUCUGGAGCACAGGAAGAAGAGAGCUGUUCUAACAUUCCUCCACACUGCUGCUUUUCAAGGAUGGUAAUAAGAAAGACAUGGAAGAUACUAAAUUCCCACCUAUGGAAGACUAUUCUCUGACAUGAAUUCCACUUGUGCCAAGGCCAGCAUUUGAGGGCCUUGAAUUUUGGACCUGGAAACUACUGGUCCCAGAUUUAUAACCAUUGCUGUGUCUCAACCAUCUGUUCCCACAUACAUCUAAAAUGUAUGAAAAAAACAUUUGCUCUAAAAGAUACUGGCCAGGAAGUGCAGCGUAGGAAUAUCCCACCUAGCCAGAGUCAUUCAUAUGGACCAAUUUCAGGCUUUGUCCAUUUUAAAGGGGGCAUUUCUCAUUCAUAAUAGAAUCUAUUCCAUGCCAUUGGAAGUAUUAGAAAGCAGUCAGGUCUGCUUUAAAUGUCCAGUGGUAUCUCUCAUCAAAAAUCCUUGGCAAUUUCCAUCUGUAGAGUUAACUAUUCAUGUGGUUCUUGUGAGAGUGAAGAGUCCUUUCAGUAGUUUUCUUCUUGCCCUUCUUUCUUCCUUUUAACAGUCUAUUAUUGAGUCUUUAUACCAUGUCUAGACUUUGAUUCCAGAAGUUAGUUCCACUGUGUCCCUUUCCAAAAGACUCAGUCAUGCCAUGGAAUCAUUUCUAGUACAAAACCAUCAAGUACAGAUGCAGAUAAUUGUCCUGAGCAACAUCUCAAAGACAGAUGAGAAGAUUUUGUACAUGCUAUUUUGACCUUCAAUGGGGAGAAUUUGGCUUUCAGAUGAUUGUGAAGCACAGCUCAUUAUUCUUACCUAUGCCACACCUUUGUCCAUAAAUUUUAGAUUCUCAGGAAACGUACACCCAUCAAAAAUGUAACCCAUUAUCAAAGUGACAAAGAGGUGUCAUGUGUACAGCAAACAUACAAAUUUGUACUCAUCAUAAGCAAGAAAUAAUGUCUCCCCAAGAAAGGACAUUUAGAGAAACCUCAACAUCUUUCAAGUUGAAUCCAAGCCAAAAUUAAGCUCUUUCAAAUUCUGCCUACUGAAUCUGAAUUAAAUCUGAAUUUGAUUAAUUGAAUUACAUCUGAGUGACCUCAGUGUCUUUGGAGUUUGCUUUUCAGACUGCUGUGUGUGUAGAUAGGAUCUGAAAGACCCCAAACUUUCCUUUCAGGACAGAGUAAUUUGUCUCUCUCUCUCUCUGUCUCAGGUUUCAGUAACAUACAAUUUCUGAAAUAUACGGACCCAGACUAACUGGCGUAGUUUAGUGAUAUGUGAUAUUGUUGUUUUCAGUCUCUGUUAUGAUUUGCUUUUAAAUAUUUAUUUGUGAAAUAUAAAUCUUGUGAAG